rnacentral:tRNA from 1 species
GGUUAGAUAACAUAAGUGGUUAAUGUAUUGGAUUGCAAAUCCAAUAAUGGCGGUUCGAGUCCGCCUCUAACCU